AGUCAAUGAUGCAAAACAUUAAGGCUUGUUUCUCAAAAUACAUUCGCAGUGGCUGCCUGAGAGCUUUCGCCUCGCCGGGCUUGAGAGCAUAUGCUGCUUAACUCUUCCUUCCUUGGAUGUCUGAGACU
rnacentral:snoRNA from 1 species